rnacentral:lncRNA from 1 species
AUGGGCCGAAAGAAGAAGACUUUACAUGAGUAUGCAGCUGAGUUCACAGACCUAGGGGUAAAACAGCAACUGCUUGAACACAGUGAGUCUGGUGGCACCUCUGUGGUGGAGAUUCUCUACUGCAAAUCCUGUGAGCUGCCCAUGAGGGUAAGGAGGGACCGCAUCCUGGAGCACCUGUCCUCUGGCAGGCAUUACAGGAACCGUCGGCUAGUUAAGCAGCAUGGAGGCCACACUCCUGUCCUCGUACCUGCAGCCUCAGAACUCAGUAGUGGCCUCCCUGUCCAAGUUGAUCCUCCACCAGCCUUGCUUUCUCAGCCUUCCUGUGUUUUACCAGGUGCUCCCUGCAUCACCAGUGCCAGUACCAGUACCAGUACCAGUGCCAGCAUGGUGCCUUCGCCUCCUUCCUACCACAAAGCUUUGUUUCCUGCCCACCCCAGUGCCACCAGCUCCACAACCAGCACUGUGCCUGUCAGAAAAGACCAAACUCCAUCUACCUCCACCAACCACACUUCUCCAUUCAUGACUCUUCAUGGGAGAAGCCCAAUAGUCCCCUCAAAACAGACUAGCCAAAGGCUUGUUAUUUCAGAAGCAUCCAACAGUGUGGCUUCUGGAAGUGGAGCAGGAUGGUUUCAUAGCAAUGGGGCCUUGGGAAGCAGCCUUGGCCUGGCUCUCUUUGGGGUAGGGUAUGGGAACAAGGCCUUGUUUCAGAGCUUAGUGGAAGAAAGCAGGUGUUGCUUGCUUUACAUUGUUGAAGAUCAGCUGUCUGAUGUUGAGCAGGCCUUCAGAUCUGACUAUUUGGUGAACACCCGAGUGCUUCGAGAGCAAGAUGCCGACAUUGUACUUAAUGAUCAGCGGGUCUCUGGAGUUGUUAUCUGUUCACCCCCUGAAGCAGCUUCUGAAAUAGUGAUGGAUGCUUUGAGAGCAGGGAAAGGUGUGUUUUGCGAGAAACUUCCUACUUUGGAUAGACAAAUUGCUGAGAUGUGUUUCGAUGAAGCUAACAGAUGUGGGAAACCAUUAGUCUGUGGAUUCUACAAGCGUUUUGAUCCAGCUUUACAAUUCUUGUACCAGAAAGUCCGUGAGAGCCACGCACUAGGGAGGAUACAUCGGAUAGCUGUUGUUAGCAGCCUCUAUCCGGCAGCUUCUCUCAGUUUACUAAGGAAGUCAGAUGUGGCCUCUUUGGACGACGUCGACAGCGCCGUGAUCAGCAUGAAGUUUCCUAGCGGGGCCAUCGUUAGCCUGGACGUCAGUCAGCACUGCACCAGAAGCUGCGAUCAGAGAGUGGAGGUCCAUGGGUCUCAAGGAACAUUACGGGUCGAUAAUCAGAACCCCCUGGGGAUUAUUGAGCAUGGAACCUCUGUGUCCGUGUACUCACACACGCAUGCCGAUCGGUACCAAGAAGCAUAUAGAAGACUCUUUCGACACUUUCUCAGAGCCCUUAAAGGAAAAGAACCCCCAGUCAUCCCCAAAGAGCAGUUUCUCUGGAGCAUUCAAUUGGCUGCAGCAGCUGAGCAGUCCUGGCGGGAUGGGUCGGCUGUCGACCUACGCAAUGAAGGGCGAGACACAGAUGCUGUGACAUCGAUUAUUAAGACUGAAAUACUGUGAAGAAGGAAGGCCUUGCUGAAGUUUUGCUAAAGAAGGCAAUCUUUUAUUAAUUGCAGUCUUCUGUGACAUUAUUUCCACUGGAAACCAAGAGCUAGGAAUUUGGGGAAAAUAUAUGAAUAUAGCCCUGAUGUAGCAAGUAAUUUUCUUAAGCUAUUCUGUUAGGCCCAGAAAUGAGGCUUGGAGGGCAUCAUUCUGCCAGUGUGAUUUCCUUUGUAUUUGAAAGGGGACCCUUAGGGGAGAAAGAUAGACACUGUUUUUAAAGAACCCAUCGACACAUAUGCAUUAUCUAUCCAGAGCAAUGCACCAACCACUUAGUUUCCACAUUAUAGAAUGAAACAGGUUCAUAUGAAAGUUGUUUUGGAGUUCUCUUAUUUGGGGGGGGGCAGUAGGAGGAGUAGAAUGGGUGAAAGAGAAUGAUACUCCUUUUUCCUCUGAGAGAAGAGAGUAAGAUAAACAGUUUAAGAUAAGGCUUUUCUCCCCUCCAACAGUCAAGUCUAGAUGGGAUUGUGUGUAAAUAUCCCAGAAAAAGAGAGUGCCUUCUCUGCUUUAAGCCAAGUUUUUGGGGUCUCCUUUUCAUUCUUUUGUCAGACUUAUUGCAAAUGUUUUUAUAUACUUGGAAAUUCUUGUCUGUAAUUUCCCAUAUCCCACUUUUUCAAGUAAAAGUAAGUUUUCUAACAAAGCAAAAUGUCACUCUUGUGUUCAACGUGUCAGUGUUACUCUGGUCAUUUUUUCUUCAUGGAAGACUAUGUACUCUUUGAAAACCUAUUUGGCAACAGUAUUACUAAAUCUAUGAUCAUUUGUGGGACAUAUUUUUAACUCAGAUCACCCAGGCCUUAGAAAGCCAUGUCUUUAGGACACAUUUUACAGCCCCCAAAACAGCGGCCAUCUUUGUAGGUUAAUUUCCUGGUCACUUUUAUAGGAAGAUGGUUAUGAACAAAAACUGACCUCCGUGAGCCCAAAGGCAGCUCUAAUGAAAAGUCCUGCAGAGAUGGAGACUUUCCCUUCAGCACAGAAGUGCAUGUCUGUGGCUGUGGAGCUCGACUGUCUCUUCCUAACGUAAAGGGGAGCAUCCACUCAUAAACACUUGUUGCUUCCAGGGCUGGAGGUCUGAACUCUAAUCCCAACAACCUCUUGGUUUUAGCAAGAAGUAGCUUCCUUUGCCCAGCAUGCCUCCCACCCUCCAUAGUGGCCCUCCUACACAGAUUUGCCCAUAAUGUAUAUAUAUAUCAGGGUCUUAAAAAUGAUACUAAACUCUCUAGGACUUCCAGGAGGACGUGUUAAAAUCCCAUUUUGUGUCUUUCAGAAUCACGACUCAUUACAUUGCUUCACCUCUUCCCCCCUUCUCCCCUACCCUAAUGGAGAGGCCUUGUGGAGUGAAUGAGCUUCAAAUUCAGGAAGACCUGGGUUCAAGUUCCAUCUCAUGCUGUUUCUGUGACCCUGGGCAAAUCCCUUGAAUUCUCAUUGUUCUAGGACCAAGUUGUAGAGACGGUGCCCUCUUACAAUGGGGGGAGGGAGUUUUCUUGUCAUGAAGCUCCCUCUAGCAAGAAAAUCUUAGGUUCAGUCCCUACUGUGAAGCCAUCAGGUAAGUGAUAGAAGGUGGCACCUUCCUUGGACUUGGGGAAGAGCCAAGGCCUACUAGAAGCUCAAUCACUUAGUCAGGUAAGCGACUCAAGUAUUUGUGUGUCUUAAUUUCCUGGUGGGUCAUGUGUAGAUGGUAACUACCUCUACUGAUGAGUAUCAUUGUGUAAAAGGGCUUCACAUUCCUUGCCUGGAAGGAGCCUUAAAAACAACUUCAGACUACUUGUUUUUCAAAAACAUGAUUCUCUUUCCAUUUAUUAAUAUUAUUGCAUUGUUAUCUGUAGUAAUUAAUGACUACCAGUAAUAAUUAUAAUUUGUUUUUAAUUAUUUUAGUAUUACUAUAGACCAGGGGGUAUGGGGGAACUUCCAGUAUACAAGCUCCCUUCACUGAUGCAGAGCUGCAAGCCAUCCUAGUCUUAGAGAAGUUAGUCUUAACUGGAGGUCUGUGAAAUUAUUUUUUUUCUAACUUUUUGACAACUAUAUUUCAAUAUAAUUAGUUUCUUUUGUAAUCCUAUAAUUUUAUUUUUUAAACAUCUUCAAUUGUUGUUUAUCAGUUAGUGUGAGAAAGGUUCUAUAGGUUUCACCAGACUUCCAAAGGAGUCCCAUGACACAAUAAAGGUUUAGAACCCCUCUUCA